rnacentral:lncRNA from 1 species
UAUAAAUCUAGUCCCUCUUACUCUAUCCUGCCCAGAAGUGGAAAUAUGAUCCUUCCAUUAUAAAAUAAAGAAUGGUCCUAAGAUUUGAGAACUCCAAAAGGACUUAGUGUUACGGAAUAAAGGUGAACAACCAUUUGGGACUGUUUAUCUACUUGCUAUCUCUCUUUUGAGAGAGAAUAAUGUCUCAAGAGCUCCAUUCUCUGAUGCCUGCAGUAUGUUAUGAAUCAGUAGAGAAUCUUUCUGUCUGUGCUUGGAUCUUGGGCUGGAAGUGUCAGGAAUUAUUGCUUCCCGGGAGCGUGCCUUAACCAAUGAUGCUUAGGAGUUGGUAUACAAAUGUUUCAACUCCUUCACCGCUCAAGUGGAAUGAU